rnacentral:tRNA from 1 species
AAUAGCAAUCCACUGGUCUUAGGAACCAUCCAUCUUGGUGCAAAUCCAAGUAAAAGUA